rnacentral:rRNA from 1 species
GACGAACGCUGGCGGCGUGCUUAACACAUGCGAGUCGAACGGAAAGGCCCUGCUUUUGUGGGGUGCUCGAGUGGCGAACGGGUGAGUAACACGUGAGUAACCUGCCCUUGACUUUGGGGUAACUUCAGGAAACUGGGGCUAAUACCGGAUAGGAGCUCCUGCUGCAUGGUGGGGGUUGGAAAGUUUCGGCGGUUGGGGAUGGACUCGCGGCUUAUCAGCUUGUUGGUGGGGUAGUGGCUUACCAAGGCUUUGACGGGUAGCCGGCCUGAGAGGGUGACCGGCCACAUUGGGACUGGGAUACGGCCCAGACUCCUACGGGAGGCAGCAGUGGGGAAUAUUGCACAAUGGGCGGAAGCCUGAUGCAGCAACGCCGCGUGCGGGAUGACGGCCUUCGGGUUGUAAACCGCUUUCGCCUGUGACGAAGCGUGAGUGACGGUAAUGGGUAAAGAAGCACCGGCUAACUACGU